rnacentral:misc_RNA from 1 species
AAGUGUUUGGACUUCUUGUCCUUCAUCCCGACGCUGUGCGCCUUUCGGGGCUGCACGCUGAAGGAGCAUAUAUCCACACCUGUGCACAUACACGGUGGUGGGGCUUGAUUGCCUCGCCGCUGCUUCACACACGUCUUAAAAGUCUUGAGUGUAAAACCAUAAAUAAUA